rnacentral:rRNA from 1 species
AUGAACGCUGGCGGUAUGCUUAACACAUGCAAGUCGAACGGGAUGCUUCGGCAUCUAGUGGCGGACGGGUGAGUAACGCGUGAGAAUCUGGCUUCAGGUUCGGGACAACAGUGGGAAACUGCUGCUAAUACCGGAUGUGCAGGAAUGUGAAAGAUUAAUUGCCUGAAAGAUGAGCUCGCGUCUGAUUAGCUAGUUGGUGGGUAAGAGCCCACCAAGGCGACGAUCAGUAACUG